AUGGCGGCCUCCCGCUUCCUGACGCUCCUCCGCCGCCGCUCCGCCAUCCCCAACCCAUCCCUCCUCCACCGCCGCCUCCCCUUCUCCUCCUCUCCCCCGCCCCCCUCACCGGAGAGCCCCUCCGCCCCCUCCUCCUCGAAGCCCCCCUCCCUCUCCGCCCGCCUCUCCUUCGUCUUCGACCAGCUCGACGCGCUCGACCGCAACCGCUCCUCCGACCUCUCCGCCCGCGACGCCGCCCUGCGCCGCAUCCAGUCCUGGCGCCGCCCGGCCCCGCCCCCGCCCGAUGCGCCCUUGCCCCCUCCCCCGCCCCCGCCCAGGCCGGAGCCGGGCGGCCAGCCAGAGAGGCAUGUCGAGGCGGCGGCGGCGGCGACGGUCGGACAGGAGGUGGCGGCGGAGGGGCUGGAGAGCAUGAGCGUCGCGGAUGUGCUGCGGAGGGAGGUGGAGCUGGUCCACCCCUGGCCCGAGUGGAUCGAGCUCAUGGAGCGGCUCGCGCAGCAGAGGUACUUCGACCUCGGGGGAGGGUCGGGCGGCGCCGACCAGGAGUUCCGUCUCGCCGCGGCGGUGCCCAUGGAUCUCUCGGAGGUCGCCGAGGAGUCGGGCUUCGAUUUCUCCAGAGACUGGACCACUGUCAAGAACGCCUGCAUGAACUUCGGCCGCGACCGGUUCGACAUCCUCAAGCCGUUGCCUAGGAAGGAUCUUCAGGUAUUGGUUGGCCAUGGGUGCCCCAGCAUGGAUCCAAAAGUUGUGUUUUCUGCGAAGCUGAUAAGGAAACUGGUCCACCUUGACGAGGGUGAUGUGUGCAGUUCGUGUAAUUUGCGAAAUUCAUGCUCAAGAGGCUAUAUCCUUACACGUAAAGAAGAUGAAGCUCGGACUCUUGAUGUUAUGCGUAUUUUAUUGGUCUAUGGUUUUGAUCAUAUAAAGGGGACUGUGGAGAACAAACCGCUUCUCAAACUGAAAUCCGUGAAGACCGUCGUUCGGAAAUUAAUACACGAGAUUGCCAAGCUGAGUGCUGUUCCUAUUGACCCCAAUCUUCCACCCCCUGUAAUCAGGAAGUUGCCACCUAAGGUGAAGCAACCGCCUCCACCACCAAAGAGACGAGUUGGACGUGAUGACGUAGAGAUGAAGAAAGGAGACUGGCUCUGCCCAAAGUGUGACUUCAUGAACUUUGCGAAAAAUACAAUUUGCUUGCAGUGUGAUGCUAAGCGUCCCAAAAGGCAACUUCUACCUGGAGAGUGGGAGUGUCCUCGGUGCAAUUUUUUGAACUACAGACGGAACAUGUCAUGUUUCCAUUGUGAACAUAACCGUCCUCCAGAUGAAUACACCAACAGCCAAAUGGAAGAAUAUCAAUCUGCACCACGGAAACGGUUGGAAAGACCAGCUCGCAAGCCUGACGUUUCUAAUGCGUGGAACUUUGACUUCGAUGAUAAUGAAUCGGAUGGUGCUGAUGUUGCAGCAUUUGAGUUUGCUGAUUCAUCCAAAGUCAGGGAGAGCUCAUCUGUGGACAACUCAUAUAGAGAUAAUACAAAGGGUUCCGAGGCCGAGAAAUUCUUUGGAAUGGAUGAACCAAGGAGCGAGGGAAGAGAGAGAAAGUUCAGUGGAAGAGACAACUUGAACUCAUCUAGAGUUGGUUUUGAUGAUUUUGAUGACGAAGAGGACGAUAUUGACAGUUACGAGCUUGAUUUGUCAAAGGGUGGUCAGACAGGUGGUGUGCCGAGGGUGAGUUAUUCUGACCUUGAGAAUGCUUCUUCUGAUUCAGAAGACUUGAACGAAUUUGCUCACAGUAGAAAUUCCAAUUACGGGGCAAAGGAUGAAGCAACAGGUUCAGCUGAUGAUGAUGAAUUUGAUGAUCAACCCUCCCUAAGAUCUAGUCAUAUUGCUGAUUCUUGGCAGAAAACCAGAGGUUGGAGCGGUUCGAACAACCGCAGAAGCGCAUCUUUUGGCUCAGACAGUAAUGAUGGGGUUAUUUCUGAUUUUGAUGAGGAUGUUGACAACGGUUUUAGAUCUAAACAAAGGCGUAAACAGGGAGGCCGUGAAACAGUUCCUGAUAUGGACUCUGACAUGGAUGAUGAGUUACAAUCAGAUGAUAGGAGGAACAGGUCCUCCACAAAUUUCAGAGGAAACUUCCCUGCCAGAAGCUCUAACUUAAAUAGUAGAAGCGCUAGUGGGGACCGUUUUGGUAGGACAAGAGGCAACGAACAGUUCAGGAGUGUUGAUGUGCAUGAUGGUGGGUCGCCCUUUGAUAGGAAUCGCAGAGGAAGGGGUAAUCAGCAAGAUCAUGGCUCAAGAGGUUCACAAAGAAAUGCAGGAAGAAAUUGGGAUAAUAGUAGUGAGUUUGAUCGCAGAGGGAGGGGUAAUCAGCAAGAUCAUGGCUCAAGAGGUUCGCAAAGAAAUGAAAGAAGAAGCUGGGAUAGAAGUAGUGAGUUUGAUGGCAGUGACAGGCCCCUCAGACCUUCUAAUAGAAGGUAA
rnacentral:rRNA from 1 species